UGUCAGGCUGUGACGCUCUAAAUGGAAGCACUUUCUUUUGUCUGAAAAAAAGAAACUGCCUUCAAUUAGAGUGUUACGGUUUGAGA
rfam:Callithrix jacchus chromosome 22, whole genome shotgun sequence